GUUUUAUUUACUGUUUUAUAUGUUCAAUUGUUUUUUGGUUAUCAUUUCGGUCCGGUAAAUUAAUCAGGAUAAAUAAGUAAAGUUUUAAGGACAUCAUUUUAAGAGAAAAAAAACCGAUUGUUCCAUGAAGGAAGAUCUCGAAGAUAACAUGACGAAUCUUCAAUCUACUAAUGGUGCCAUUCAAUCUUUGGAACACGAGAGUAACGAAAAACAAAUCCAAGAAACGACCGUGAACCUGCAAAAAAUAAAAAUGCCAUCGAAAAUUCGAAAACGGGGACGCCCAAAAGGUUUGGGAAACACCGUAAUUGGACUUAAAAAGUUCAGGAAAAAAUGAAAUAUUUAAUUUUACCCAUAUACCUGUAUUACGGUUUGUUUUUUUUUAUCGUAGAUACUUAAAAUACUUAAAAAUAUACAUUUUAUGUUUUGUU